rnacentral:tRNA from 2 species
GGUUUGGUGGUCUAGUGGUAUGAUUCUCGCUUAGGGUGCGAGAGGUCCCGGGUUCAAUCCCCGGCCAAACCC